UGGGGAAUAUUGGACAAUGGGCGCAAGCCUGAUCCAGCCAUGCCGCGUGGGUGAAGAAGGCCUUAGGGUUGUAAAGCCCUUUCACCGGUGAAGAUAAUGACGGUAGCCGGAGAAGAAGCCCCGGCCAACUCCGUGCCAGCAGCCGCGGUAAUACGGAGGGGGCUAGCGUUGUUCGGAAUUACUGGGCGUAAAGCGCACGUAGGCGGUUUUGCUAGUUGGAGGUGAAAGCCCAGGGCUUAACCCUGGAAUUGCCUUCAAAACUGCAAGACUCGAGUCCGGGAGAGGUGAGUGGAAUUCCCAGUGUAGAGGUGAAAUUCGUAGAUAUUGGGAAGAACACCAGUGGCGAAGGCGGCUCACUGGCCCGGUGCUGACGCUGAGGUGCGAAAGCGUGGGGAGCAAACAGG
rnacentral:rRNA from 1 species